rnacentral:rRNA from 1 species
UAACGUGUGGGCAACCUGCCCUAUACUGGGGAAUAAUCACUGGAAACGGUGACUAAUACCGCAUGUCAUUACGGAAGGGCAUCCUUCUGUAAGAAAAGGAGUAAUUCGGUAUAGGAUGGGCCCGCAUCUGAUUAGCUAGUUGGUGAGAUAACAGCCCACCAAGGCGACGAUCAGUAGCCGACCUGAGAGGAUGAUCGGCCACAUUGGGACUGAGACACGGCCCAA